rnacentral:snoRNA from 1 species
ACACCCACUUUCACUCUGCCAACUGGACUUAUGUCUUUAUUGGUCAUUCAAGUGGGGCAAAGGAAUAACCUUUUAGAACUCAGGCAAACUGGGCGUUUGUCUUGUAACCUGUCAGAGGAAACAUUG